rnacentral:rRNA from 1 species
UACGUAGGGUGCGAGCGUUUGUCCGGAAUUAUUGGGGCGUAAAGGGCUCGUAGGCGGUUUGUCGCGUCGGGAGUGAAAUCCACUGGCUUAACUGGUGGCUUGCUUUCGAUACGGGCAGACUGGAGGUAUGCAGGGGGAGAACGGAAUUCCUGGUGUAGCGGUGAAAUGCGCAGAUAUCAGGAGGAACACCGGUGGCGAAGGCGGUUCUCUGGGCAUGUCCUGACGCUGAGGAGCGAAAGUGUGGGGAGCGAACAGG